CAUAGGCAGGGACACCUCCCACCAGGCCAGGCUGCUCAGAGCCCUUCCAGCCUGGCUUCGAACGCUGCCCGGGAUGGGGCAUCCACGAGCCUCUUCUUCCAGUGCCUCACCACCCUCACAGUCGCCCCGGGCCGGCGCCGCGCUCCUUCUGUGCGCUCCCUGGUGCUGCUGUGCCACAGCUCAUCUGGCUCUCCUGCACUGCUGUCUGCUCGUGUAUGACUCCAAAUGAACGUGGGUGUGCUUUAGGUCGGAGCGUUCCUGGGUUCUACGUUUUCCUUUCCUGGACUGGAAUAAUCCCUGUCCUUUGCACCAGGUGAUUUUGCCGUACCUGUGUAGGUGAAAAUAAACAGGCAGCACUCAGUAGAGUGACUGUGUGCAAUCAAUAAAUUAAACAACUUGUGGAAA